rnacentral:rRNA from 1 species
CUACGGGGGGCUGCAGGGGGGAAUAUUGGACAAUGGGGGAAACCCUGAUCCAGCAAUGCCGCGUGUGUGAAGAAGGCCUGCGGGUUGUAAAGCACUUUCGGUUGGGAGGACUGCUUCUAGCACUAAUAUUGUUGGAAGUUGACGUUACCUUCAGAAGAAGCACCGGCUAACUCCGUGCCAGCAGCCGCGGUAAUACGGAGGGUGCAAGCGGUAAUCGGAAUUACUGGGCGUAAAGCGCGCGUAGGCGGCUAGAUCAGUCGGGUGUGAAAGCCCCGGGCUUAACCUGGGAACUGCAUCCGAUACUGUCUAGCUUGAGUACAGGAGUGGAGAGUGGAAUUCCACAUGUAGCGGUGAUAUGCGUAGAUAUGUGGAGGAACACCAAUGGCGAAGGCAGCUCUCUGGCCUGAUACUGACGCUGAGGUGCGAAAGCGUGGGGAGCAAACAGGAUUAGAUACCCGCGUAGUC